rnacentral:misc_RNA from 1 species
GAUGAAAAACGUAGCGAAAUGCGAUAAGUAGUGUGAAUUGCAGAAUUCAGUGAAUCAUCGAAUCUUUGAACGCACAUUGCGCCCCAUGGUAUUCCGUGGGGCAUGCCUGUUCGAGCGUCAUUUACCCCCUCAAGCUCCGCUUGGUGUUGGGCGUCUGUCCCGCUUCGCGCGCGGACUCGCCCCAAAGGUAUUGGCAGCGGUCGUGCCAGCUUCUCGCGCAGCACAUUGCGCUUCUCGAGGCACCGGUGGGCCCGCGUCCAUCAAGCUCACCCCCCCAGUUUGACCUCGGAUCAGGUAGGGAUACCCGCUGAACUUAAGCAUAUCAAUAAGCGGAGGA